UACGUAGGGUGCGAGCGUUAAUCGGAAUUACUGGGCGUAAAGCGUGCGCAGGCGGUUCGUUAAGUUCGAUGUGAAAGCCCCGGGCUCAACCUGGGAACUGCAUUGGAAACUGGCGAGCUUGAGUGUGGCAGAGGGGGGGUGGAAUUCCGCGUGUAGCAGUGAAAUGCGUAGAUAUGCGGAGGAACACCGAUGGCGAAGGCAAUCCCCUGGACCUGUACUGACGCUCAUGCACGAAAGCGUGGGGAGCAAACGAGG
rnacentral:rRNA from 1 species